rnacentral:ncRNA from 2 species
GCAUAUCAAUAAGCGGAG